UAAAACUUUGUUCACAAAUACGCGUUUAAUCAAAAAAAUAAAAAAGGUAAUAUGUCAUAUAACAUUAUCGCUAUUCUCUAACGCGUUACCUACAAUUUUUAUACACAAUCAAAUUCAGAUCCACCGACUCCAAACCCUCUUCAAUACCUUAAACCAAGAAAUCCAUACGUCUACAACCAAAAUCAUCUCUCCAGAUCUUCGGCAUCAAAUUCUCCCUCUAAAUCUCCGGCUACAAUGGCUUCAUCACCGGCGAUUCUUCCCAUCUCAAACCAACAGACCAUUUCCACCGGUGAAUCCCAGGCNCCUCCUUAUAUGUUGCCCUGGGCCUUGGCCCAUCUGGCCCAUGUAUUGGGUCGGCCCUGAUCCUUACUCAACCACCACCACCAACAUCCACUACCAUCAACCAUCUCGACCACCGACCAUCGGUGACAACACCGCCAACAUCUUUCCCUCUAAAAUCAUAUCUGCAUAAAAAAAAUUAGAAUUCACAGUUUAAUUCAACAUUUCAGACACUAAUUCGCAGCUUAAUUUAAUAUUUCAGACACUAAUUCACAACUUAGUGCAUCAAAAAAAUACGCAUUCACAACUUAAUAACUUAUAUAUUCACAAGUUAAUACAUAAAAAACACAUAUUCACAGUUUAAUACAUUACAUUUAUAACUCAUUUACAAAUAUAAAAUUCAGAUAUAGAUAAAAAAAUUAGAAUUCAUAGUUUAAUACAUUUCACACACUAUUUCAAAGUUUAAUUCAAUAUUUUAGACAUUAAUUCAAAGUUUAAUUCAAUGUUUUUUAAUUCAGCAUUUUAGACACUAAUUCACAGACUAAUGCAUAAGAAAAACAAAACUCAUAGUAUAAUAUACAUUUCAGACACUAGUUCACAGCUUAAUACAAAAUUUUAAACACUUAUUUAUAAUAUAAAAACUUACAGAUCUUGUUUAGACAUUUCAUCAAACACCUUGCGUGUACAUUGUUUUCAGAUCUGAGGUGGUAGUGGAACAACAACUGGCCACCAUGAAAUGCUUUGUAAAUGUAAGAUUUAUGUUUGAAAAUACACUAGACGAUCUCGCCAAAUCCGAUAAAUCAGUAUGUAUUUGGCUUUAGAUCUGAGAUGAUGAUGACGAUUAGUGACUCUCCCAACGAUUUGAAGCAAAGAAGCUCGCCGGAAAACAAAAGGCUUAAUGAGAUCGCAUCUAAAUGUCAGAUCUGACCAUACCUAUGCAGAUCUGGAAUGAUUGCAGGUGGUGGCGAUCGUCGUUGGUGGUACCAGAAGGUUGUGGUUAUGGUGCGAUGAAGGCGUAUGUGCUCGUUGACAACGGAUCUGGAUGAUCCUAGUGAAAAUCCAACCAAAUCUAGAUCUAAAAAAAUCAUACGAUCUGGUAGAUUUGGUAAUUCAUGACAUAUCGGAGGUUCAGGUACAUCUGGACUCUUGAAAUCCGACGACCUGGCAGGAGCGGUAAUAGGCCAGACGAUAGUGCUAGCUGGCGGUGGUUUUCUCCAGAGGAAGUCCGCCGUCGGUGAUAGUGAAAAUGGUGGAUAUCACCAGAAAAAAAGAGAUAGAGAGAUAAUCUAAUUCUUAAAAAUCUGAUGAAUGUUUGUUAAGGUUGUGCAUUUUUGGAAGUAUAACUAGUAAUUUUGAAAGAAAUUACAGAAAAAAUCAUAAAGAAAUAACAAAAAAUGAUUUCAAUAAAUUACUUAUUUGGAUAUUAGUUUGGUACGGGAAGAAUGUGAAGCAACAUGGAUGCCUAUUUACAUUAAUGAUCAUUAUAUUAUAGACAUAGUAUACCCUAGACUUAGUUCAAAUUGUAAAGAUAAACAUAAAUAGAGCUGUAGUUUAAAUUAUAGAUAGGCUUUGUAUAAGUUGUGUUUAUCAGAUUCUUGUAUUUAUCAGAUCCUUUAGAAUAGGGAUUAUCAGUUGUAAUUCUUGUUAUAUAUAAAGAGACUAAACCCAAGAGGUUGACUUACGCCAAUAUACACUUCUUGACUUGGUAUCAGAGCUUUGAUCCAAAGUCGAACCCCUAGUUCUCUAUCCGGCUCUUUGAUUCCCCUUCAAAGAGUAUUUCUCUUCUUUCUCCAACGAUGUCAGCCCCAGUCAAGUCCUCUACCAUUGCUACGGCUAUUUCUUGCAUGCUAACUCGCUCCAACUUCCUCCUAUGGAAAGCGCAAGUGGUCCCUAUUCUAAAGGGAGUCCAACUCUUCGGCCACCUUAAUGGCACUACACCAUCCCCUUCAGCCGUGAUAACUACAGAGACGAGUACCAUCGCAAAGGAAGUUGAGCCCCCGAAAAAAUCCCCAAAUCCUGAACAUAAUGCCUGAGUCAUUCAAGAUCAGGCUGUGAUUGGCGGUCUCCUAUCCUCGAUGACAGAGGAAGUUCUUCCUCAAUUAAUUCGCUGCACCAGCACUGCUCAGGAGCUGUGGACAACGCUUCACACCAUGUUCUCUGCUUAGCACCGUGGAAAUUCAAUUCAGAUUCGUACACAACUUUCAACCACAAAGAAAGGAGACCUAAGUGUUGCUGAAUACUACUAGAAAAUGACUGGAUUCGCUGAUACAAUGGCGAAUAUUGGACAACCGAUGACUGAUGAGGAAGUGAUAGGUUAUAUGCUGGCUGGAUUGGGACCAGGACAUGGCGAUUUGUUUACUGCCAUAACAGUUCUCAGCAAUGAACGGAAGGUUACAUUUCCAGAAUUUUACUCUUAUCUAAUAGCACAUGAGGCUCAAGCCACCUCCAUGAGAAGCACUGUGGAGUUCUCACUGUCCGCUAAUAACGUCACACGUCAAGAAAACAACAGUAACAACAGUGCACCUCGUCGCAACAAUACAAGUGGGUACAACAACUUCAAUCAGAGAGGAAACCACAGAGGAGGUGGUUACCGUGGACGAGGUCAUGGGCGCAGUCGGAACAAUGGAGGACCCCGCUGUCAAGUAUGUGGCAUACCUGGUCACACAGCCCUAACUUGCAGAAACCGUUUCAACCAUACUUACCAGACAGAGGACUAUCGUGGGGCCAACAGUGUGACAUCAGCUCGAUAUAAUUCAGAUCCAAACUGCCGUGUUGACUGUGGAGCAACUGAUCAUCUAACCAAUGAGCUUGAUCGCCUCACUGUCCAAGAUCGUUACCAUGGCAAAGAUCAAGUUCAAGUCGCUAAUGGAGCAGGUUUGUCUAUUUCUCAUGUUGGUCAUUCAGUAAUUCCCGGUUUAACUAGACCUCUCCAUUUAAAAAAUGUCUUAUAUGUCCCACACAUUAAGAAAAAUCUUUUAUCUGCUCAGAGACUUAUGUCUGAUAACCAUGUGUUUAUUGAACUUCAUCCUAAUGUUUUCCGUGUCAAGGACAUAGCCACGAAGAAAGUUCUACUACUAGGUAGGAGCAANUACUACUAGGGGAGCAAAGGUGGUCUCUACCCUAUACCUAUCAGUCGUUCUAAAAGUCUUCCGCAACGUCAUGGUUUAUCAAGUGUCAAAGUUUCUUCAUCUCAACGGCAUCGAAGAUUUGGUCACCCCACUUCAGUAGUUGUCAAGACUAUUUUAAAUUCAAAUAAGUUAGGUUGUUUGCCUAGUAAUGAUUCAUUAGUAUGUGAUGCUUGUCAAUGUGCAAAAAGUCAUCAAUUACCAUAUAAUACUUUUGUUCGUGUCUCUACUUGUCCUCUUGAACUUAUACAUACUGAUGUUUGGGGACCCGCUCAAGUGUCUAGCGGGGGUUUUAAAUAUUAUGAUAGCUUUCUAGAUGAUUACAGUCGAUACACUUGGAUUUACCUUAUUAAAAACAAAUCUGAUGUUGAGCAAGUGUUUUAUACCUUCCAAAAUCACGUUGAACGAUUCUUAAACACCAAAAUCCGUAGUGUUUAGUCAGACUGGGGGGUGGAUACCAAAAACUACACCGAUAUUUUCAAAAAGGGGGAAUCACACAUCGUGUCUCAUGUCCUCAUACGUCCCCACAAAAUGGAAUAGCAGAACAAAAACAUCGCCAUAUAGUGGAAACUGGUCUGGCUCUAUUAGCUCAGUCAUAUCUUCCCCUCCGUUAUUGGGAUGAAGCUUUCUUGACUGCGUGUUACUUGAUUAAUCGUAUGCCUACCAAAAUUCUUAACAAUAUUGCACCACUUACACGCUUGUUAAGAAUCAAACCCGAUUAUUCAUUUCUUAGAGUCUUUGGUUGUGCAUGUUGGCCUAGUUUACGGAAAUAUAAUACUCACAAACUCAGUUUUCGUUCCACAUUGUGUGUUUUUCUGGGGUAUAUCUCCCUUCAUAAGGGCUAUAAAUGUUUAGAUAGGUCCACAGGUCGCAUUUAUAUUUCAAGAGAUGUCGUGUUUGAUGAAAAUCGUUUUCCAUACACUCCUACACAUACUCUAUCUUCUAUUCCUUCUAACUCAUAAUCAGUCCUGUUUCCCCAGUCUGAACCGGCAGUUACUAAUGAUCACAUGAGCAUAUAUGACUUAUCUAUUUUGUUAGCUAACAAUUAUGAUGCAGGUACAGCAAUACCACCCACUGUUAUACCGCAAGUUUCCACUUCUCCACCAAUCACUGUUCCAGUAUCACAUUUGCAUGUACCCACAGAAGAAUCCACACCAGCAACCACAAGCCCUGCUGCUGUGCCAGAUACAACAACCUUGUCAUCAGUCACUGCACCAGCAGCUGAACCUCAGGAGCCUGUGUCACCAGCCACCUCAACGUCCAUGUCACUUCCACUUGAUGAUCUAUCGCCACCUGUAUAGUCCACUCCAGAAGCUUCUCCACCAGGUAUGACCACGCGUGCUCGUUUGGGAAAAACUUUCCCUAAACAGUUCACGGAUGGCACUAUUUGCUAUGAUCUUUCUAAAAGAGAUUUCUCUGCUAUUACCCCUACUUCUUAUCGAGCUGCUAUGACUGAUCCUGCUUGGAGAGCUGCCAUGGAAGCAGAAUUUAAAGCACUCAAGACAAAUCAGACAUGGACUCUUGUUCCUAGACCCACUGGUAUUAAUAUUGUUGGGUGUAAAUGGAUUUUUAAAUUAAAACAAAAUCCGGAUGGUACUACUGAUAAGCAUAAAGCGCGGUUAGUUGCUCGUGGCUUCACCCAACAAUAUGGUAUUGAUUAUCAAGUACCUUCAGUCCUGUAGUAAAGCCUGCCACUAUUCGUUUAGUCCUUUCUCUUGCAGUCUCUCGUGGCUGGCAUCUUUGCCAAAUUGAUGUUAACAACGCGUUUCUUCAUGGUUUUCUGGACGAAGAAGUAUACAUGCACCAACCACCUGGCUUUGAAGACUCCACUCAUCCUCAGUACGUGUGCAAAUUACGCAAGGCACUUUAUGGCCUCAAACAAUCACCUAGGGCAUGGUUUUCUAGGUUAAGAGACCAACUUCAUCAACUUGGUUUUCGAUCCUCUAAAGCUGAUACCUCAUUGUUUAUUCUUCAUUGCAAUCAGGUCACUGUAUUUAUGUUGGUGUAUGUCGACGAUAUAGUUAUUGUGGGAUCGUCCCAACGGGUGGUGGACAAACUCAUUCAGGCGUUGAGCUCCUAUUUCCCUAUCAAAGAUCUAGGAAGGCUUAGCUAUUUCUUAGGUGUUGAGGUGCUUCACAAUUCAGGGGGAAUUACCUUACUUCAGUACAAAUAUGCGACUGAUUUGUUGCAUCGUACUAAUACGGUGAAUUGUAAAGUUGUCACCACCCUAAUGAUGGUCAAUAAUAACCUAUCUAGCGAUGAUGGAAAACCUCUGAAUGAGGAGGAUACAUUCAAGUAUAGAAGCAUGGUUGGAGGUUUGCAAUAUCUCACGCUACCCAGGCCAGAUAUUUCUUUUUUCGGUCAACAAGGUUUGUCAGUUUUUGGCUAGACCUACUGAUAUUCAUCUUGAGGCUGUAAAGAGAAUAUUGAGGUAUAUUAAAGGAACAAUUACUACAGGGCUGCGUAUUCGAAAAUCGUCCUCCACAUUAUUGAGUGUGUUUACAAAUGCAGAUUGGGCAGGAUGUCUGGACUCUAGACGAUCUACAGGAGGAUUUGCAGUAUUUAUAGGUCCCAACUUGGUUUCAUGGAGCUCACGUAAACAACCAACAGUCUCAAGGUCAAGUACUGAAGCAUAAUACAAAGCCUUAGCAAAUGGUACAGCAGAAGGAACUUGGAUUCAGGCAAUACUAAAGGAGUUAGGUGUCAAACAAACUCGAGCUCCAAUACUUUGGUGUGAUAAUCUGGGAGCCACUUAUUUAACAACUAAUCCAAUCUUUCAUGCACGUACAAAACAUAUAGAAGUCGACUUUCAUUUUGUUAGAGAAAAGGUAGCAAUGGGAGCAUUAGAUGUUCGGAUUAUAUCAUCAAAUGAUCAAGUUGCAGAUGGUUUCACAAAGCCUAUGACUAGAAGUAUGUUGGAGAAGUUAUGAUACAAUCUGAACCUGAUUCCGGUUAAGAUUGAGGGGGAAUGUAAAGAUAAACGUAAAUAGAGCUGUAGUUUAAAUUAUAGAUAGGCUUUGUAUAAGUUGUGUUUAUCAGAUUUUUGUAUUUAUCAGAUCCUUUAGAAUAGGGAUUAUCAGUUGUAAUUCUUGUUAUAUAUAAAGAGACUAAACCCAAGAGGUUGACUAACGCCAAUAUACACUUCUUGACUCAAAUGUCAUAUUUUACUACGAUUAAUUAUUACGUGUGUAAUGUUAGAAAUAUAUUUUGACAUAAAUACUAUUAAUGAAAGGGUUCUUGGGGUUCUUAAUUAGGGUCUUAACCUUUAGUUGGUCUUAUUUAAACUUUUACCUAUAAAAUAGAUAAUCUACUCUAAUAAAUGAAAGUUUUUUUUGCCACAUGUCCUCUUCUUCUUCAUUUGAACACAUGAUAUUUUCUAAAAUUUUUAAAUUUUUUAUUUUCUAUUUGUAUUUUAUUGUAUUUUUCAUUUUAUUAAAUUAAAAUUCCAUAUUUAAUAUGUAAGGUAAUAUAUAUGUAAGAUAUUUAUUACAAAAAAUAUUUAUAUAUGUAAUGUAUCCAAUACAUUAAAGUCUCAUUAAUUUUAAUAAUUCAAAAAAAUUCUUUUUUUUAUAAAUUCAAACUUUUCAAAUUGUUAAAAUUUUAUAUUUAAUUUUUUUUAAAUAAACCAUUUAUUUAUAUAAUAAAUGAGUCUCACACCUAAUUUUUAUUAUACAUAGCAUAAAACUUUGUUCACAAAUACGCGUUUAAUCAAAAAAAUAAAAAAGGUAAUAUGUCAUAUAACAUUAUCGCUAUUCUCUAACGCGUUACCUACAAUUUUUAUACACAAUCAAAUUCAGAUCCACCGACUCCAAACCCUCUUCAAUACCUUAAACCAAGAAAUCCAUACGUCUACAACCAAAAUCAUCUCUCCAGAUCUUCGGCAUCAAAUUCUCCCUCUAAAUCUCCGGCUACAAUGGCUUCAUCACCGGCGAUUCUUCCCAUCUCAAACCAACAGACCAUUUCCACCGGUGAAUCC
rnacentral:lncRNA from 1 species